GACGAACGCUGGCGGCAUGCCUAACACAUGCAAGUCGAGCGAGCUGAUUCCUUCGGGAUGAAGCUAGCGGCGGACGGGUGAGUAACACGUGGGCAACCUGCCUCAUAGAGGGGAAUAGCCUUCCGAAAGGAAGAUUAAUACCGCAUAAGAUUGCAUCUUCGCAUGAAGAAGCAAUUAAAGGAGCAAUCCGCUAUGAGAUGGGCCCGCGGCGCAUUAGCUAGUUGGUGAGGUAACGGCUCACCAAGGCGACGAUGCGUAGCCGACCUGAGAGGGUGAUCGGCCACAUUGGGACUGAGACACGGCCCAGACUCCUACGGGAGGCAGCAGUGGGGAAUAUUGCACAAUGGGGGAAACCCUGAUGCAGCAAUGCCGCGUGAGUGAUGACGGCCUUCGGGUUGUAAAGCUCUUUUACCAGGGAUGAUAAUGACAGUACCUGGAGAAUAAGCUCCGGCUAACUCCGUGCCAGCCGCCGCCGUAA
rnacentral:rRNA from 1 species